rnacentral:sRNA from 1 species
AUUACGAUAUACUCUUCCUGAUUAUCCAGUCUUCAGUUCACUUGAAAACAGAAAGCAGGAAAGACAUUCUAACAUGGAGGGUGAAACCAUUCAAGACCUCCUAUCUAAGCGAUAUUCGGAUAGACUUACCCCAAACACUGUGAUUCACCUUACUGAGGGAGCCAUUGGUAUCUUUGGGAAUAUCAUUGUUCUUGUAAUGUACUCCAGAUAUAUUGCUGACAAGAACGGGACAAGGUACUUUAUCCCUGUUCUAGCUGUGGUUGACCUCAUGGGAUGUCUGUCAAACGUGGUCCAAUUUCAGCUGGACAACACGAUGCGAUACACCUACCCUGACGUCCAUCUCUGCAAAACUCUUUUUUUCUUGAUGAUAAUGUCCGGUGGACUCUCCGCUCAUCUGAUUUUCGCUAUUGCUCUGCAGAGAUACUUGAUGAUUUGCCGUCCGUUUGGUCAGCAGAUGACACGAAAGUACUGCAGACUCGUUUUUGUGAUCUUUGUUCUAUUCUCGUUCGGAUAUGCGGCUCCUGUUUUAAAGUUUGGAGGAUUAAUUGAAAUAAAAAGUUGGCUAAAGAGUAAAACUGGCAAUGUGACUCGGACUAUCUCUUUUACUAUAGGGAGUUGUCAUUUCGAUGAUGGUUCGCACGGACCUAGAGUUAUGGUUCCUUAAUUCGGAACAUUGUUGGUACUUUCGUUUAUGAAUAUCAUUGCGACUUCCGGUUUAUACAUACCCGUGACGAAAACUAUCUAUAGGACACUCUCAUCAAACAAGAAUCGUGGAAACAGAGUCAGUCGAAUGUUGGAUGGAGAUACACCGAUAUCCUCAAAAGACACAUACAGCACUAGUGUUGAAGAAAUCAAAAUGUCAGAAAUUCAUCAACAAAGCCAAAAUACAAAGUCAAAAUGCUCUGGACCUGAAAUAAAAGCUGGACCUGGUAUAAAAUCCGCACUGCAGGAAACGGACCGAGAACAGGAGGCUCGUAAAAGAAUAAGCGUCAUGUUUCUAAUUAUCAUAAUUAUCUACGUAGUUUCGUAUCUGACUUCACUAACCACACAAGUCUAUAACUUCGUGACCACAGAACAUAUGUCGGGUUACCGAUGGAACAUCCAUAUGUUUUGUCUUCGUUUAAACCUUCUAAACCACAUAGCAAAUCCGUACAUCUACUGGUUUUACGACGUCAAAUUCCGAAAAGAACUUCAGAAGUUAUGUUGUAAGAGACAUUAAGGGAGACCUGUGCAAGUCAAGAGGGGCUAUCAUAAUGAAUGAACAAAAUAA